CUCCCUACAAGGUACAGUUAGGAGUCCUGUCCUUUACCAAUAGUCUUCUCCCUACAAGGUACAGUCCUGUCCUCUACCAAUAGUCUUCUCCCUACAAGGUACAGUCCUGUCCUUUACCAAUAGUCUUCUCCCUACAAGGUACAGUUAGGAGUCCUGUCCUUUACCAAUAGUCUUCUCCCUACAAGGUACAGUCCUGUCCUCUACCAAUAGUCUUCUCCCUACAAGGUACAGUCCUGUCCUUUACCAAUAGUCUUCUCCCUACAAGGUACAGUCCUGUCCUUUACCAAUAGUCUUCUCCCUACAUGGUACAGUCCUGUCCUUUACCAAUAGUCUUCUCCCUACAAGGUACAGUCCUGUCCUUUACCAAUAGUCUUCUCCCUACAGGGUACAGUCCUGUCCUUUACCAAUAGUCUUCUCCCUACAAGGUACAGUCCUGUCCUUUACCAAUAGUCUUCUCCCUACAAGGUACAGUCCUGUCCUUUACCAAUAGUCUUCUCCCUACAGGGUACAGUCCUGUCCUUUACCAAUAGUCUUCUCCCUACAAGGUACAGUCCUGUCCUUUACCAAUAGUCUUCUCCCUACAGGGUACAGUCCUGUCCUUUACCAAUAGUCUUCUCCCUACAAGGUACAGUCCUGUCCUUUACCAAUAGUCUUCUCCCUACAAGGUACAGUCCUGUCCUUUACCAAUAGUCUUCUCCCUACAGGGUACAGUCCUGUCCUUUACCAAUAGUCUUCUCCCUACAAGGUACAGUCCUGUCCUUUACCAAUAGUCUUCUCCCUACAAGGUACAGUCCUGUCCUUUACCAAUAGUCUUCUCCCUACAAAGUACAGUCCUUCCUCUACCAAUAGUCUUCUCCCUACAGGGUACAGUUAGGAGUCCUGUCCUUUACCAAUAGUCUUCUCCCUACAAGGUACAGUCCUGUCCUCUACCAAUAGUCUUCUCCCUACAAGGUACAGUCCUGUCCUUUACCAAUAGUCUUCUCCCUACAAGGUACAGUCCUUCCUCUACCAAUAGUCUUCUCCCUACAGGGUACACCCCUGUCCUUUACCAAUAGUCUUCUCCCUACAAGGUACAGUUAGGAGUCCUGUCCUUUACCAAUAGUCUUCUCCCUACAAGGUACAGUCCUGUCCUCUACCAAUAGUCUUCUCCCUACAAGGUACAGUCCUGUCCUUUACCAAUAGUCUUCUCCCUACAAGGUACAGUCCUGUCCUUUACCAAUAGUCUUCUCCCUACAAGGUACAGUCCUGUCCUUUACCAAUAGUCUUCUCCCUACAAGGUACAGUCCUGUCCUUUACCAAUAGUCUUCUC